rnacentral:rRNA from 1 species
UACGUAGGGUGCAAGCGUUAAUCGGAAUUAUUGGGCGUAAAGCGCGCGCAGGCGGUCCUUUAAGUCUGAUGUGAAAGCCCACGGCUCAACCGUGGAAGGUCAUUGGAAACUGGGGGACUUGAGUGCAGAAGAGGAAAGCGGAAUUCCAAGUGUAGCGGUGAAAUGCGUAGAGAUUUGGAGGAACACCAGUGGCGAAGGCGGCUUUCUGGUCUGUAACUGACGCUGAGGCGCGAAAGCGUGGGGAGCAAACAGG